rnacentral:sRNA from 1 species
AGUGUGUAUAUAUUGUUGGAAUCUCUCUUUAUCUGCCGCUAAAUCUUUUUACUUCUUAAUUCCCUUAAUUUAUCCAGAUUCAUUAUAAGCAUAUUUAUACUACUUCUAAGGGCUUUAAUGGUUUAAACGCAGCGGUUGUGGUUGCGGUUGCGGGAGUUUGCAAAAGCGGGUGGUUGCAGUUUCAAGCGUUAUUUAGCGUUUUGACCGACUAGUUUAGCAGUUGAAAACGGGUGCGUUUGCAGGAGAUUUACGACUGGUUGAUCAGCGGGUACGAUAGCGGUGAAACCAAAAUUUACCAAAAAAAAUUUAAUAUAUGAUUAAAAAAAAUUAAAAACACUAAAAACUAUAAUUAUGAAAAAGUA